CAUCUUUUUCUUGGUGGAGAUGGAGGGAGGUGGGCAUUGAGUGUGCUGUCCGGGUCCCCUUUAUAUCCAGAAGCAGAUGAUAAGGGCUCCGGUCACCUCGGUGUCGUGUGGUCAGAAGCUUCCCAGUCCAGUGGUUGUAUCUUCAAGUGCAGGGACAAGG
ensembl:snoRNA small nucleolar RNA SNORA57